rnacentral:sRNA from 1 species
UACAUAUAAUACUCUCAUAAAGGGAUUUUGCAAGUCUAAGAGAGUAGAAGAUGGUACGGAACUCUUCCGCGAGAUGUCUCAUAGAGGAUUGGUUGGCGAUACAGUCACUUACACCACUCUUAUCCAAGGGCUUUUUCAUGAUGGCGACUGUGAUAAUGCCCAAAAGGUUUUCAAACAGAUGGUUUCUGAUGGUGUACCUCCUGAUAUAAUGACAUACAGCAUUUUGUUAGAUGGACUCUGUAAUAACGGGAAGCUAGAGAAAGCAUUGGAGGUUUUCGACUAUAUGCAAAAGAGUGAGAUAAAACUUGAUAUUUAC